AACGAACGCUGGCGGCAGGCCUAACACAUGCAAGUCGAGCGGUAAGGCCCUUUCGGGGGUACGACGAGCGGCGAACGGGUGAGUAACACGUGGGUGACCUGCCCUCAGCUCUGGGAUAAGCCUGGGAAACCGGGGUCUAAUACCGGAUAUGACUCCAUGACGCAUGUUGUGGGGUGGAAAGCCUUGUGCGGCUGAGGAUGGGCCCGCGGCCUAUCAGCUUGUUGGUGGGGUGAUGGCCUACCAAGGCGACGACGGGUAGCCGGCCUGAGAGGGCGACCGGCCACACUGGGACUGAGACACGGCCCAGACUCCUACGGGAGGCAGCAGUGGGGAAUCUUGCGCAAUGGGCGAAAGCCUGACGCAGCGACGCCGCGUGAGGGAUGACGGCCU
rnacentral:rRNA from 1 species